rnacentral:ncRNA from 1 species
CUUAUUGAGAGUUUGAUCCUGGCUCAGGAUGAACGCUGGCGGCGUGGAUAAGGCAUGCAAGUCGAGAGGGUUUAGACCCUCGGCAAACGGGUUCGGAUAACAUAGGAAUUUUCCCUAAAGUCAUGGAUAAUCCAGAGAAAUUUGGAACAAUACAUGAUAUGCUCUACGGAGUAAAGAUUUAUCGCUUUAGGAGAAGCCUAUGUCCUAUCAGCUUGUUGGUGAGGUAAUAGCUCACCAAGGCUAUGACGGGUAGGGGGUGUGAGAG